CGGAGGAAAAGAAACUAACAAGGAUUCCAUUAGUAACGGCGAGUGAACAUGGAAAAGCCCAGCACCGAAGCCUGUGGUCGUUUGAUCACUAGGCAAUGUGGUGUUCAGGUUAACUCGCGGAAACACUGCUCCACCCCAAGUCCAGCAAUGAGUACGGUAUUUCGGACAUGGCCCAUAGAGGGUGAAAGGCCCGUGGGGGUGGAGAUCAGGCAUGACAGUGUUUUCCUGAGAAAACCUUGGAGUCGGGUUGUUUGUGAAUGCAGCCCAAAGUGGGUGGUAAACUCCAUCCAAGGCUAAAUACAAGCACGAGUCCGAUAGCGAACAAGUACCGUGAGGGAAAGUUGAAAAGUACUUUGAAGAGAGAGUAAACAGUGCGUGAAACCGCUCAGAGGUAAACGGGUGGAGUUGAACUGCAAGCUCUGAGAAUUCAGCUGGUGAGUGUGGUAUGGGCUUGGUUAUAAAAGUUGGACUUCGUGGUCUGCUUAGCUGCAGGUCUUUGCUUUCGGGUAGAGAUGCGCGAUGCACUUACCAAGUGUUGUGCGCUUCGAAGUUCUUCGAACCGGCUCGCCAGUGCACUUUCUCAGAGUGGUCACCACGACCGGCACUGCUGUCUGACUGUUUCCGUCAAACCGUUUCGGCAUUGUCCUUGUGGCUUUGUUGGAUCGGGAUGGCAGGUAGCUCGUUGGCUUGCUUGUGAACUUCACAGGCGUUGGCUUUCGGGUGUAAUCAGCUGACUCAAAUGGUUCUGUGCAGUGUGUCGGAGGCCGCGGCCUGGGGUGUGUGUGCGUGCUGAUCGUGGGCUAAAUCGGGUUCGGUUGUCAUGUUGCUUGUUCAUGCAGGCCUGAUGAUAUCCCGGUUUUGUGCUGCGAUUUAGUGCGUGGGCGUCACCAUUCAAGGGCCAAUAGUCUGUGGUGUAGUGGUAGACUAUCCACCUGACCCGUCUUGAAACACGGACCAAGGAGAGUAACAUGUGCGCGAGUCAUUGGGUGUAACGAAACCUAAAGGCGAAGUGAAAGUAAAGGUUUGGCUUGUCCAGACUGAGGUGAGAUCCCGUCGUUUCUCAUACCUGGUGCCACCAAGCAUUGAGCGGCGGGCGCAUCACCGGCCCGUCCCAUGACGUAGUCACGGUCUUCGGACUGCUGCACCGUCGGGGCGGAGCAUGAGCGUACAUGUUGAGACCCGAAAGAUGGUGAACUAUGCUUGCGCAGGUUGAAGCCAGAGGAAACUCUGGUGGAGGACCGCAGCGAUUCUGACGUGCAAAUCGAUCGUCAAACGUGAGUAUAGGGGCGAAAGACUAAUCGAACCAUCUAGUAGCUGGUUCCCU
rnacentral:rRNA from 1 species